rnacentral:rRNA from 2 species
GCUCNGAUGACGCUAGCUACAGGCUUAACACAUGCAAGUCGAGGGGCAGCAUGGUCUUAGCUUGCUAAGGCCGAUGGCGACCGGCGCACGGGUGAGUAACACGUAUCCAACCUGCCGUCUACUCUUGGACAGCCUUCUGAAAGGAAGAUUAAUACAAGAUGGCAUCAUGAGUCCGCAUGUUCACAUGAUUAAAGGUAUUCCGGUAGACGAUGGGGAUGCGUUCCAUUAGAUAGUAGGCGGGGUAACGGCCCACCUAGUCUUCGAUGGAUAGGGGUUCUGAGAGGAAGGUCCCCCACAUUGGAACUGAGACACGGUCCAAACUCCUACGGGAGGCAGCAGUGAGGAAUAUUGGUCAAUGGGCGAGAGCCUGAACCAGCCAAGUAGCGUGAAGGAUGACUGCCCUAUGGGUUGUAAACUUCUUUUAUAAAGGAAUAAAGUCGGGUAUGGAUACCCGUUUGCAUGUACUUUAUGAAUAAGGAUCGGCUAACUCCGUGCCAGCAGCCGCGGUAAUACGGAGGAUCCGAGCGUUAUCCGGAUUUAUUGGGUUUAAAGGGAGCGUAGAUGGAUGUUUAAGUCAGUUGUGAAAGUUUGCGGCUCAACCGUAAAAUUGCAGUUGAUACUGGAUAUCUUGAGUGCAGUUGAGGCAGGCGGAAUUCGUGGUGUAGCGGUGAAAUGCUUAGAUAUCACGAAGAACUCCGAUUGCGAAGGCAGCCUGCUAAGCUGCAACUGACAUUGAGGCUCGAAAGUGUGGGUAUCAAACAGGAUUA